AUUUAUAUACGUUUAAAAAUUUAUAUACGUUAAAACAUGAAAGUUCUAUGUGUAUAUAGCUUUAAGGUCAAAUUGUGCUACAAGAUUUGUGAGGCAGGCACUUGUUUGGCUAUUUGAAGCCAUUCUCAACCCCUUUCUCUGUUGCUUCCUUUCUACUAUAGAGGAUGAAAAUCCAGAGUCUCCCUUCACCCUUCACCAGCCUCUCUCGUAGGCAAGGGUGGCCAUGUGACCCGUUCUGGCUAAUAAGAUAUAAGGGGAACUCUACUCAGGUCUUCCAGGAAAGAUAUUUUCCUUUCUAAUUGUGGUGAAGACUGCCAGGUAUCUGUUAUUUUGUUCUUCCCUUUUUUUUUUUUUUUUUUAGAACUUUUAAGUUUUAUCUGUGCAUAUGGCUACUAGGAAUAAAUACUGCAUUUUUCAGCCUCUUUUGUAGCUAGUUGUGGCUUUGUGACUAAAUCCUGGCCAGCAGAAUAUAAGCAAAAGUGUUUUGUGGCAACUUUCAGGAAAUUUCAUCAAAAGAAAGCUCUCAAGUGUCCUUUUUAUUCCUCCUUCCUCCAUCCUGCUGCCUGUAAUGUUGACAUGAUGGCUGGAGCUGCUGUAACCUUCUGGAACCAUGAAGUCACCUUGAGAAAGGAAACUGUGACUAGUAGAAUGACAAGAGAGAUGGAGCCUUGUUCUCUGAAGGGAUCACAGAAACACACUAGGCACGUGCUCACAUAUGGGCUUUAAUUGAUACUCUGCCUGGGAAUUGGUGUGGCAUCAUGGGAAAUAUAAAGGAAGUGAAGUGAUCACCUGUAUGAGAGUGAUGAGAUUAAUAUACUCAAAUAAUCAAAGGAGAAAAUAAAGAGUAAGUACAACUGGAUUCUCAUGCCUGCAAAUAGUAGGUGCUCAAAAGCAUUUGUUGGUUGGGUGAUUGGGAGAAGUCAAUGAUCUAGAAUCCUCAAAGAAACCUAAAGAAAAGGUUCAAGCAAGAGGCAGGAUAUAAGCUGGAUUUUGAAAGAUCAGCUGUAUUUAGAUAGAUAAGAGGGAAGUCCUACCCAGCAGUGGAGAACAUUGAACAAAACUGAAGA
rnacentral:lncRNA from 1 species